UACGUAGGGGGCAAGCGUUGUCCGGAAUUAUUGGGCGUAAAGAGUUCGUAGGCGGUUUUUCGCGUCGUUUGUGAAAACCAGCAGCUCAACUGCUGGCUUGCAUUCGAUACGGGCAGACUUGAGUACUGCAGGGGAGACUGGAAUUUCUGGUGUAGCGGUGAAAUGCGCAGAUAUCAGGAGGAACACCGGUGGCGAAGGCGGGUCUCUGGGCAGUAACUGACGCUGAGGAACGAAAGCGUGGGUAGCGAACAGG
rnacentral:rRNA from 1 species